GUGGGGAAUUUUGGACAAUGGGCGAAAGCCUGAUCCAGCCAUGCCGCGUGCAGGAUGAAGGCCUUCGGGUUGUAAACUGCUUUUGUACGGAACGAAACGGUCCGGGUUAAUACCCUGGGCUAAUGACGGUACCGUAAGAAUAAGCACCGGCUAACUACGUGCCAGCAGCCGCGGUAAUACGUAGGGUGCAAGCGUUAAUCGGAAUUACUGGGCGUAAAGCGUGCGCAGGCGGUUUUGUAAGACAGGCGUGAAAUCCACGGGCUCAACCUGGGAGUUGCGCUUGUGACUGCAAGGCUGGAGUGCGGCAGAGGGGGAUGGAAUUCCGCGUGUAGCAGUGAAAUGCGUAGAUAUGCGGAGGAACACCGAUGGCGAAGGCAAUCCCCUGGGCCUGCACUGACGCUCAUGCACGAAAGCGUGGGGAGCAAACAGGAUUAGAAACCCUUGUAGUCC
rnacentral:rRNA from 1 species